rnacentral:pre_miRNA from 1 species
UCCUAGUCCCUGAGACCCUAACUUGUGAGGUUUUUUAGCAGCAUCACAAGUCAGGCUCUUGGGACCUAGG